rnacentral:rRNA from 1 species
CUUUACUGUAACUUGAAAUUGAAAUUGGACUUUACUUGCGCAGUAUAGGUGGGAGGCGUUGAGAAUAUUCUUGCGGGAAUAUUGGAGCCAUCAGUGAGAUACCACUCUGGUAAUGUUAGAUUUCUAACUUUGAAUCAUUAUCUGGUCAAAGAACAGUUUCAGGCGGGCAGUUUGACUGGGGCGGUCGCCUCCCAAAUGGUAACGGAGGCGUACAAAGGUUUCCUCUGAACGGGUAGAAAUCGUAUCUAGAGUGUAAAGGCAUAAGGAAGCUUGACUGUGAGACCUACAAGUCGAGCAGGGACGAAAGUCGGUCUUAGUGAUCUGACGGUACUGAGUGGAAAGGCCGUCACUCAACGGAUAAAAGUUA